GCGCACGAUUUACUAUUUCGUUCCCUCGAUUUAUAAAUCAUGCGCAUGAAUAGUAAAACAGUAUUUAUGUAAUUUUUUACCUCUAAUACACCACUAUGUCCAACUGCCUUGCGCAUCCGGUUGAUGAGGUCUGAACGCGUUCUGAUGAUGGAAGUGAUGUCUCGCGCUUGAGUGUGUUGUCAGAGCACGUUCAGACCUCACUAACUGCACAAACCGAUCGUUUCGUGUCUUAGGACAUCAAUGCGUCAUCACAAGCCGCAGGGUUUAAUUUGGAUUUGUUUGUGCAUGUUUUUUUUAUUCUUAUAGAUGGUGUUACCAUUUCAAUGCAUUAUAUGACUGACAGACUGCAACGGUUGAAGUUAAAAAUCAUCAUUUGUGUUCUACUGAAGAAACAAAGUCACCUAUAUCUUGGAUGCUCUGGGGGUAAGCAGAUAAACAUCAAAUUUUCAUUUUUGGGUGAACUAUCCCUUUAAAUUAAACAAAUAUACGUUAUGUAUUAAUCUCACUUUAAUAACCAAUGUCUUUGCUGCUGACUUUUCAUAAUCUAAUUUAACCAUACUAUUAAGCAAAAAUUACUUUAGAUAAACAUCAAAUUUGUGGGGCUUUUUUGUUUGUUGUUUUGUUUUGUUUUUUGUUUUUUUUGCUGAAGUAAGAGUGUUGAACUUCCUUCUCCAACGUCCUAUAUUUCGGUUUGUUUGUUUUGUUGAGGUUUGUUUUGUUGUUGUUGUUGUUGUUAGUAAAAACAAACAAGCAAGCCCAGCUCAGGUGAGAAAAGGUAAUGCAAAAGUAAUGUAACGCAUUACUUUUAACGCAUUACUUUUCAUAAAAAGUAGCUAAGUAACGCAAUUAGUUUUUUUGUAGGGAGUAACAAUAUUGUAAUGCAUUACUUAUAAAAGACCUCUCUACUUAUUCUGAAAAACACCAGAAGAACGAUGCCCAGGCUCCCUGAUCACCUGUGUGAACAUGGCACAGUCCAACUACAGGGACACAUGAGGACUGCAGAUGUGGCUAGAGCAAUUAACUGCAAUGUACAGAAUAUAAAUCACCUAAGACAGUACUACAGGGAGACAGAAAGGACAUAUUGGCUAACCCCGCAGACGUGUUUGAAAACUUGCAAGUGCCUUGGGAGUGGAGUGAUAUCUCGCAUCCAAGAAAUGGCAAAUCUGGUGCUGUCCAUGAGGAUGAGAUGCACUAAUAUUAGUUAAAGCAGCUGGUGCCACAUCAAAUACUGACUGCUACUUUUGAUAUUGACCCUCACUUGUUCAGGGAUUCAUUAUUUCAUUUCUGUUCUUCAAAUGUCUGUGAAUCCCAGUUGUUGAAUCUUUUUAUGUUCAUACAAAUAUUUACACGUCAAGAUUUUUGCUGACAAAAAGCAAGUUGAAAGUCAGAGGAUGUUCUCUUUUUGAUUUUUUGCUGAGUUUAUAUUACUUGCCUCAUACAAAACAUAUGACUUUUAUUCCCACUGACAUUUCCUGUUCACUUUCAUUGGAAAGACCACCUUGCGGGUGAGCAGAUGAUAACAAUUUUCAUUUUGAAUAAACUAUAUCCCAAUAGAUCUAUUUCAUUCUAGACCUCUUUUCCUCAUGUUGCUGUUUACAUGCUGUCAAGCGUGUUCAAAACAUGAGUUUAUUCAGAUUACAGUCAUCAGAAAAUCCUGUGGCCUCUUCUGAGGUUGAAUUUUGGUUCUUUACAGAUCCCAAAUUAAAAUCAUGGUUAGGUUUAGAGUGUGGUUAGGCUUAGGAAAAUUCACUGCUGGAACGUGUACAGAAAUUGGUCAGUUGAAUGAUUUGUCGCAAUGGGAGUAAAACUUAUCAUCAAGGUAGAAAAAAGCCCUCUGUCACGUUUUGCGUUUGUUUUUGAUUUCUUUUCAUGCUUUUCCCCUGUCUUCAGUUUCUUAGUCAGUUUUCUAGUUUGUUAAUUGUUUCAGUUCUCCUUGUGUGCCUGCCUGUUUGUCUCCUUGGUUACUGAUUAAUUAGUGUCUUCAGUUCAGGUGUGUCUUGUUAAUCUAGUCUUGUUAACCCCUUGUUUGCUGUGUAUUUAAGCCUUCAGUUUCAGUCCAGUCUUUAUCCUGUAUUGUUUAAGUUACAUGGUGUUUUGUGGUAUAAUUUCCUGGUGAUUUUCCUUGUUCCUAGUAUUCUAUUAAAUGUUAUUGAAUAUAUCUCCUUUGUUGUGCAUUGAAUAGUACAACACCCACCCGUGACAGAAUACAGGACCUCAAACAGAAAAAGAUGAGCCUGGCUGAGGGCCGCCUGUGGGGACUGAGGCAGAGAGGUCGUCCUUUGGAGAGCUGAGGCAGUAAAAGAAAAGUAUGUCUCAUCCAGCCCCAUCGAAGAUGCACGUAGCAUCGGCAGAUCACCCUAAGUCGGUUCCCUCCAGUGGAUCCAUCCAUCUGUCCUCUGGCACUUCACCAAGUCCUCAGUAAAGUGAUUUAAGAUGGCCGCCAUCCAUGAGCCUCGUCGCAAGAUGACCGUCAUCCCAGAGCCUCGUCGCAAGAUGGCCACCAUCCAUGAGCCUCGUCACAAGAUGGCCGCCAGUCCAGAGCCUCGUCCUAAGAUGGCCGCUGCCACGCCUGAGCCCUUGGUUAAGAUGGUUGCCGCUGAGAAUGAGACUUUCCAAAAUGGCCACCCUGCCUGAGUCCUCUCCAGAGCUAAUGGAUGACUUAUGGCUGAUCAGAGCCAAAAACCAUCCCCGACCAGAGUCCAGUGACAGCUUCAGCCCCCGUAGUCCAGAUACCCAUAGCUCCGCCCAAGUAACGAUACUUUUUUCGGAUACCACCCUGGAGGCUUCCUGCCUUGCCUAAUACUCUUAGUCAGCCUGGUUACUGAGCAUUUUCAGUUCAGGUGUGUCUUGUUAAUUUAGUCUCAUUAACCACUUGAAUACAACACCCACUUGUGACACCCUCUUGUAACAUCAUAAAUCCCUUCGGUACUAAUAUUCCAACAAUUCCAAAUAUAUGUGACUCUAGUCACUUUUAAAUUUAUAACUAGCAUCAAUAAAUUAUCAUUUUAAUUUUAU